UUUGGGGCUGGAUCAAUCUCAAUGGGGUUCACUUCAUUCGUUUUAAGUGAUGGUUCAGGGCGAUACUGCAUAUGGUAUUUCUAAACAGUCAGUUGCAUAGUGCCCGAUUCUACCACAAGAGAAGCAGUAAUGUGGGAGCCGCUCGUAUUUGAACUCCACCCAAAGCCAUUUGUUGCCGAUAUCGAGGAUAGCUCCUGAUUUCAAAGGGGGAACUCCUCCAAUGCGUACCCAGAAGGCUGCCUUAGUAAAAUCAUAGCAAUGUUCAGGGACUUCUGGGAUACACUGCUGUAGAACAAGCAAAUUAGUUGAGUAUGACCAAGUUAUGAAAGCAGGAUAGUUCACAUUUGGUUUGGAGAACAAUUUUCCAAAAAGAGUACGUCUACAUUCCUCCCGUUUCUGUUGGGGAAUAUCAUCAGACACUUCAACUACGUCAUCCUUAGACCAUAGGUGCCCAAGCCUUUUACAUAAAGCAGCCACUCUCAUUUCAUUUUCUUCUUUACUCUCCAUUUGCACUAAUCUUUAGAAACUUGUUUAGGGCUCAGGUCUAGACUUACCAUCAACCAGCUCCAAGUUUGUCUGGAUCCGGCCUUCUGCCACGCCAAACGGAUCUGCCAUACACUGAACUUCGGGAAAAGCGAGGCUGAUACUUAGAUCGGUGCUUAAUGCGGCAAGGAGUACUCUUUCUGGUGAAUUUUUCCCUCCAUGGUCAUCCCGGUUGAAGGAUGCGAGCAGGCCCCAGAUCUUUGAGAAUGGGCUCCAACAUAUU